AUUGAACGCUGGCGGCAUGCCUUACACAUGCAAGUCGAACGGCAGCACGGGAGCAAUCCUGGUGGCGAGUGGCGAACGGGUGAGUAAUACAUCGGAACGUGCCCAAUCGUGGGGGAUAACGCAGCGAAAGCUGUGCUAAUACCGCAUACGAUCUACGGAUGAAAGCAGGGGAUCGCAAGACCUUGCGCGAAUGGAGCGGCCGAUGGCAGAUUAGGUAGUUGGUGAGGUAAAGGCUCACCAAGCCGUCGAUCUGUAGCUGGUCUGAGAGGACGACCAGCCACACUGGGACUGAGACACGGCCCAGACUCCUACGGGAGGCAGCAGUGGGGAAUUUUGGACAAUGGGCGAAAGCCUGAUCCAGCCAUGCCGCGUGCAGGAUGAAGGCCUUCGGGUUGUAAACUGCUUUUGUACGGAACGAAACGGCCUUUUCUAAUAAAGAGGGCUAAUGACGGUACCGUAAGAAUAAGCACCGGCUAACUACGUGCCAGCAGCCGCGGUAAUACGUAGGGUGCAAGCGUUAAUCGGAAUUACUGGGCGUAAAGCGUGCGCAGGCGGUUAUGUAAGACAGUUGUGAAAUCCCCGGGCUCAACCUGGGAACUGCAUCUGUGACUGCAUAGCUAGAGUACGGUAGAGGGGGAUGGGAUUCCGCUGCUAUACAGAAAUGCCGUAGAU
rnacentral:rRNA from 1 species